rnacentral:tRNA from 1 species
GCCGGCAUCGUCUAGAGGCCUAGGACGCCACCCUUUCAAGGUGGAGACCAGGGGUUCGAAUCCCCUUGCCGGUACCA